AUACGGAGGAUCCGUGCGUUAUCCGGAUUUAUUGGGGUUAAAGGGUGCGUAGGUGGUUUGAUAAAUCAGCGGUGAAAGUUUGCAGCUUCACUGUAAAAAUACCGUUGAAACUGUCGGCCUUGAGUGUAAAUGAGGUAGGAGGAAUGCGUGGUGUCGCGGUGAAAUGCAUAGAUAUCACGGAGAAUUCCGAUUGCGAAGGCAGCUUACUAAGCUACAACUGACACUGAAGCACGAAAGCGUGGGGAUAAAACAGGAUUAGAUACCCUGGUAGUCCGCGCAGUAAACGAUGAUUACUAGCUGUUUGCGAUACCCAGUAAGCGGCACAGCGAAAGCGUUAAGUAAUCCCCCUGGGGAGUACGCCGGCAACGGUGAAACUCAAAUGAAUUGGCGGGG
rnacentral:rRNA from 1 species